GUGGCUUAAUUUGACUCAACGCGGGAAAUCUUACCGGGUCCGGACACACUGAGGAUUGACAGGCAAUAUAUGUGACUCUUCGGAGUUUGCAUUGUUAAAUAUGCUAGUCCUUUCAUGAUUAUGUGAUAGGUGGUGCAUGGCCGUUCUUAGUUCGUGGAGUGAUCUGUCUGCUUAAUUGCGUUUCAAAUUACUUAUAAGGUAGCAAUACGCGAUGAAACUUUCAAUAGUCCUCACGGAUUCACUUGAGUCUCUCGCUUCGCUAUCCUUUCGAAUGCAACGAACGUGACCGCAACCUCUUGUUGCCUUCGUUUAACAUCCUGCAGCUCGCUGUGGGUACUGAGGGCUUCACUCGGUGAC
rnacentral:rRNA from 1 species